CUUCAUUUCAGUUCAUUAUAUCUCAAAGUUCACUCUGGAUCUCUUGAUAUAGUGUGUGAUUUCUGUAGGCAUCCUUAUGUUAUCUUCUCCAGAAUUACUUUUUUGAUUUGGGAUGUUGGCAAUUUUCUUUUCCUAAAAUUGCAUUAAAAGAUAUUAAACCUAGGGUUUUAGGACAAUGACAGAAAGGAGAGAAGAUUGGUAGCCUCUAAGCCCAAUAUCCUGUCUCCCCUCAUGGCAGCAGUGAUAGCCUCCCUUGGAAAAGGACUGGGAAAAAGAAGCUAGAGAUGUUUGUUCUGCCUCCCUUAGAGCCAUACAAGGACAGCCUUCUUGCCACAUGAGAGCCUCUCUAUACAUGUGGGACCCAUUUCAAUUCUUAAAAACAUACGUGUCAAAAUAUUUUUAAAAUAAGUUCAUGGAUUGCAGAUCAGAACCCUUGGAGCAGAUGACUACCAAGGUACAGUCCAUCUCUGAGUCUUAUGAUCUCAGUAAAGAAGGACCUAUAAGAGCAGUGGAGAUAUGAAAGAUAGAUUUAAAACUAAAAAGGAGAGAGGAUUCUGUGAAUGUUGUCAUAAAGAGGUUCCAAUAGAGCACUACCUCCAGUAAAACUGAGUUUAGCAGAUGGAGUUUUGAGAUAUUGAAAAUAUUUAACCGAAAUAUUCUGAUUCCUGUGACCAGUCUUGAGCAUCCCCAAAGAUACUUAUUUCACUUUCUUGUAUCUAGAGCCUAAGAUAAACACAAAGGCCUUAUGGGAUUUCCUUGACCUUCUUGGACCAGCAGUAGUCAUCUGUUGAUGUGUUUGGAAAAAGAAAAGACAAGGUUAUUGCCUAAUUGCUGCUCUACCCAAACCAGUGGCAGAUCCCUGAAAAAUUAUCAGGUAAUGACAGUAAUUGGAAGGACUGUGUGCUUGCUAUACCCGGGAGAGUUUUGAAGGAGGUGAAAGAUGAGAAUAAGCAUUUAUUAAGCACCUAUUAUGUGUUAGACACAAAUAAUAUCUCAUUUACUGCUCACAACAAUCCUAGAGUUAAGUGCUAUUUUUAUCAUCCUCAUUUUCUAAAUGUAGCAACUAAGGCAAACAGAAGUUAAGUGACUUGCCUCGGGUCAUAUAGCUAACAAGUGUCUGAGUCCAAAUUUGAAUUCAGAUCUUCCUGUCUCCAGACUCAGGGCUCUAUCUACUACCACCCAGCUGCCAGGGGGAUGGAACUUCU
rnacentral:lncRNA from 1 species